AACGAACGCUGGCGGCAUGCCUAACACAUGCAAGUCGAACGAAACCUUCGGGUCUAGUGGCGCACGGGUGCGUAACGCGUGGGAACCUGCCCUUAGGUUCGGCAUACCUCCCCGAAAGGGGUGCUAAUACCGGAUAAUGUCUUCGGACCAAAGAUUUAUCGCCUUUGGAUGGGCCCGCGUUGGAUUAGCUAGUUGGUAGGGUAAAAGCCUACCAAGGCGACGAUCCAUAGCUGGUCUGAGAGGAUGAUCAGCCACACUGGGACUGAGACACGGCCCAGACUCCUACGGGAGGCAGCAGUGGGGAAUAUUGGACAAUGGGCGAAAGCCUGAUCCAGCAAUGCCGCGUGAGUGAUGAAGGCCUUAGGGUUGUAAAGCUCUUGUACCCGGGAUGAUAAUGACAGUACCGGGAGAAUAAGCUCCGGCUAACUCCGUG
rnacentral:rRNA from 1 species